GGGUGCGAUCAUACCAGCGUUAAUGCACCAGAUCCCCUCAGAACUCCGCAGUUAAGCGCGCUUGUGCUAGAGUAGUACUGGGAUGGGUGACCUCCCGGGAGGUGCUGGUGUUGAACCCU
rnacentral:rRNA from 1 species